AUUGAACGCUGGCGGCAGGCUUAACACAUGCAAGUCGAGCGAGCGGCGGACGGGUGAGUCAUGUCUGGGAAACUGCCUGAUGGAGGGGGAUAACUACUGGAAACGGUACCUCAUACCGCAUACCAUCAGAUGUGCCCAGAUUGGAUUCGCUAGGAGGUGGGGUAAAGGCUCACCUAGGCGACGCUCCCUAGCUGGUCUGAGAGGAUGACCGGCCACACUUGAACGGAAACACGGUCCAGACUCCGACGGGAGGGUGCAGUGGGUAAUAUUGCACAAGGGGGGCAAGCCUGAUGCAGCCAUGCCGCGUGUGAGAAGAGGGCCUUCGGGUUGUAGAGCACUUUCAGCGAGGAGGCGUUACUCGCAGAGGAAGCACCGGCUAACUCCGUGCCAGCAGGCGCGGUAAUAC
rnacentral:rRNA from 1 species